AACUGAUACUACCUGCGGGAACCUGCGGAGGGAUCAUUACCGAGUACCCGGAGCCUUCGGGCUCCUACUCCCACCCUAUGUUGACUUUGAAUGUUGCUUUGGUGGACCGGUGGUCUCACCGCUGGCCUAGGCUGGAGAGCGUCCGCCAGAGGAUUUUAAACUCUGUUCAACGGUGAAUUCUGAGUCCUCAGUAAAUUGAAUCAAAACUUUUAGCAAUGGAUCUCUAGAUCGGAAGAGCAC
rnacentral:misc_RNA from 1 species